rnacentral:rRNA from 1 species
GGGGGCUCUCCGAACCUCAGCAGUAACAGUACGUCUGAGCAAAACCACUGAAUCGUUAAAACUUUCAACAACGGAUCUCUUGGUUCUGGCAUCGAUGAAGAACGCAGCGAACUGCGAUAAGUAAUGCGAAUUGCAGAAUUCAGCGAGCCAUCGAAUCUU